rnacentral:rRNA from 1 species
AACGUAGGUGGCAAGCGUUAUCCGGAUUUACUGGGCGUAAAGCGUGUGCAGGCGGGUGGACAAGUGGUGUAUGAAAUCGCCAGGCUAAACCUGGCGGGGUUAUGCCAGACUGUUUAUCUGGAGUGCGAGAGAGGGGCGUGGAAUUCCGGGUGUAGUGGUGAAAUGCGUAGAGAUCCGGAGGAACCCCAGAGGCGAAGGCGGCUACCUGGCCCACUCUUGACGCUGAGGCGCGAAAGCUAGGGGAGCAAACGGG